GGGAAGUUGGCGCCUAUGGUCUGGAGAGGAAAAGGGUCACAGAGAUGAGAGCACCUGGUCUCUGAUUUACAACGCCAGCCUGGGGAGCUGCUCCUCUGCCCUGAGUGCCUGGGACCCAGCAGAGAUGCCCUGGCAGCUCCUCCCCCCGCUGCUGGGACCUGCUGUGAGGGCUGCAGAAACUGCCUCUCUCCCCCCUCCCCUGCUGGGGCUGCUCCUCGGAGGGUGAGAGAGGAGGAACCUGACGUUGUGCAGAGGGGAGUGAGAGGAGGGAGGCACCAGAUAUAAACCCAGGGGGAAGCUGCACGCUGAGCCCAUCCUCCUGUCCCUGGCCUGGGCGAAGAGGAGGGGACAGGGCGUAGGGGCAGAACCACUCCAGCCCAGAGAGUGGUCAGUAGGGGCUGGCCUUGGGAAGAGAGAAGGGAGGAGGUGGCAGCGUCAGAGGGACACUGUAUCUCUAGCGGAGGAAGAACUGGUGGCAGGAUUGUUUGUGUGACUUCUGCGCGGGAUCUCCUCUGCAUUUCAGGGGGAGGGGGGUGUCACAGUCGGUGUUGGUUUGGUUUGUGUCUUUAGCUAUUUGUUUAUAAAACUGUUUUCAUGCAUUUUUUUCUCUGAAGUGAAAGUUAAUCUCUCCUGAAAUCUCUCACCUGGUCUGCAUGAGCCUAGGGAUUGCCCUCUUUUUGUCUGAAUUUCGGAGCACAAUCCAUGAAGCAAUGCGUGGGAGAGCCCAGCCCUGGCCUAAGGAAAGGUCGGAUGUUGGAGAAGAGCAAUGAGGGAGACCCCCCUCUGCCAGGAUAACCUGCACCUGCAAUCUUACCCUGUCUGUGUGCUCCUGUCUCUGGUUCAGAUAGCAGAGUGUCUGGAGAUGGAAAGGAUAAAAGAGAGGUGUGAAACAGGGAAGUUCCAGCAGCUGGAGGACACGUCUCCUGAUCUGGAAAUCAGUCUUGGUUAUUGGUGCCAAGAAAACCGGUGCUCUGAAGGAGACUGAGGAAAAUCAAAGGUACCGAGAAGGGAGCUAGGGGGGAAACGUUUCGGACUUCCGGAAGUGACGGGCUCUGACCAAUUAGUGGCAAUAGAUGCUAACAUAAAACUGAAACAAAUCAGAGUGAACCAAUAAAUUAUCAUUCCUGAC